UCCUUGUGAGAUGGAGAACGCUGGGGGACCAAGGAGAGAAAAAGGAGCUCCCCAGAAGACAACAAGCAAAACUAAGCGACCUCACAUCCCCUAAAAGGAUGGGUUUCCAAGGCCAUGGCAGAUCGAGGUUUCGGUUUUCCUGACCUGUGACAAAUCAGCAUGAGCCUCAGCUGAAAGCAAGAGCCAAGAAAGAAAGAGUAGAGGAAGACACAGACACACGCACACAAAAAGAAAAAGCAAGAAACAGGUUUCAGCAAGGUUGCUCUGCCUCAAUCUCU
rnacentral:lncRNA from 1 species